UAAUAAGUGAAAUGAUCUGCCAAUCUACACAAUAUUAAGAAAUUGUUGACUUAAAACAAGCUCCUUUACAUUACUGAAAAGUUUAUUGAUGUUCAUUACAUCCUUUGAACAAAAUUAUUAAUAAUAAUGAUAUUUUAGUCUGGACAGUUCUGCCUAUUUUGAGCUCCUUUCAGAACCAACUGACAAAUAGAGUUCCGCUCAGGUUGCUAGGUGAUGGGCUGGUCUGGGGUUGCUAGGUAACGGCACAGCGGCAAUGGAAUGUGAUUUAACAAACCAGGAUUUUUUAAACAAUUAAUUUUCUAGAAACAAUAACUUGCCAAAAAAACACGGUUGAGUGGUUUUCAGGCACUUGGAUUGAUUUUUUUCCAGCUUUUGUUUUCACUCAGCCGUUUCUAAAGUAUUUACGCUACCAGGACUGGGUCACGCAUAGCAACAAGAGGAAACUUUAGAUUUGCUCAGAUGAUGGCAGAAAGCUGCCGGAUGUGAUUACGGAUUUACUCCCAACACCAGACAGACCAGGGGGAACCAGGAAACAAAGCGCUCCCUUCAGCCUGCGACUGAUUCUGAUUCUGCUGUUUGCACAGCAAGUUCUGGUCCAAAUCCUGAUCUUCACUUCCUGCUCAGAGGUGGUCACGUGUGGGGAAAAACAUUUCAGUAUUACGUCACUCAACUAAGCCAAAUCACUGCUUCAAUUAGUGUUAGAGAGGUUUUAGGGUUAAAUAUGGAAAA